UCUCAGUAGGCAACCGUUUCCGAAGGCAAACUGCGGAGAAUUGAACCGGAGCAGUUUGCGCGCGUAUUUUUCCGGAUUUUCGGCCCUAAUCCUGUGGCCCAGCCGUAUCAGGCGGUUUGGUUAUUGCAGUUCUGUUGAAACUUUGGGAUCCUGUUUCGCGCGGAGAGUUAUUGUGGUUUCGGGGAAGUUGCAGACGUCGAAGUUCUUCGGUUGAAUCAUUCGAAACAUAAUGAUUAUACCGCAUCAUAUUUGAAAGAAGAAUAACCUGAUUAAUCGAUUCGAGAAGCCUGGGCAUCGUUGAAACACUCGA